UCCACAGUCAACGGUCGGCAGUGUUACGGUGUGGCUGACUUUUGGGAUGGGAGUGUAACGCAGCUUCACUAGUGACUUGCUCUGUCCGUUGGAAAACUGAAAAUGCAGAGCAAUGAACUGGACAUACUGGGAUGGCGCAGGCUGAGAUUGGAGCUGGUGACUUCAACCCACAAUCUUCAGAACCACCAGUCACCAAGCAAAGGCCCCUAGACUUACACACCACUAAUAUAAUGUAAUCAUGACAUUAAAGACAUUUCCCAUUAUAGAGCAGAUGGUUCUGUGCAACCUCUCUUAAAGGUAUUCCGCAAGAUACAACAUGGAAAUAGGAAGAGGCCACUCAAUGAAUUCUGAUACAAAGACUUGUCCAGACCAAAUGGUUGGAGUAUUCCAUCUUUAGUGUUUUGCUACCCCUUCUGUAAUUUUUUCGCUUCCAAAUGCCCCAUCGUCUGUCUUCAAAUUUAGAAUCAGGCUUUUCUAACUGGAAGCAAGACGGUGGCUUCAAAGACCAUUCCAAAUCAGACCAUUGUAAAAAUAUUUGUUGAAAA